GAUGAAGAACGCAGCGAAAUGCGAUAAGUAAUGUGAAUUGCAGAAUUCAGUGAAUCAUCGAAUCUUUGAACGCUCAUUGCGCCCGCCAGUAUUCUGGCGGGCAUGCCUGUUCGAGCGUCAUUUCAACCAUCAAGCCCCCGGCUUGUGUUGGGGACCUGCGGCUGCCGCAGGCCCUGAAAAGCAGUGGCGGGCUCGCUGUCACACCGAGCGUAGUAGCAUACAUCUCGCUCUGGGCGUGCUGCGGGUUCCGGCCGUUAAACCACCUUCAUAACCCAAGGUUGACCUCGGAUCAGGUAGGAAGACCCGCUGAACUUAAGCAUAUCAAUAAGCGGAGGA
rnacentral:misc_RNA from 1 species